UAACUGUUUCACGAUAUGCCUACUUCUCAUUGCAAGGCAUAACAUAAAAAAUCACCCCACCACACUGUCUACAGCUGUUGCUUAUUUUGUCCACGUUUGUAGGCCUACUUGUGUAGGACUUAUCUCUCACGUUGUCCAGCUUCAGCUUUGCUAGGCGGAGACACGUGUGAAUAAACAAAUCCCCGUCAUCUUCUGAAGGCAGAUAUUUCCCUUCAGAAUAACUGUCAGCGAACAGAAGACCCAACACUUCAUUCCUGCCUACCAGCUCCACUUCCCUCCAAUGUAAUCCAACUCCCUCCAAUUUCCUCCAUCCAGCAGUUGCCAGAUUCUUAGAAAAACAUUUCAACAUGAUAUACUCUUUUUUCCAGAACCCAUAACCUGGCAAACGCUUAAAAAAUUACCUGGCAACCCCACGCAAGGAAGAAAGCCAGCGGAAGUUCAGUCGAUCGCAGAGACUUCGGUUGCAGAUUUACACCAUCAAUAUCAAGACCAUUUGCGCGUUGAACAAGGAAUAGAGGUAAGAUUCCCCCCCUUGGGUCAACCAAGAAACUGACAAACUAAAUGCAACAGUCAUUCAGACAGGGUGAUUGCAAGAUCUCAACAGUGGGAGUGUUUUUUUUUUUUUAUUAGGCUAUGAGAGGACUACAUUCCAUCACUGGGUAUGAUAAUGAUUAGCUUCAGUAACUUAGGUUACAUUAGACCUCCUAAACUUCUGUAUUGUCAGUUAUUUACUGUAUCUUACUGUUUAUUCCAGGAUGACUGGCCGUAAAAAAAAAGCCAAACCAGCAAAUGCCAAAAGUAGUAUCAUGCCUGAAGCCAUCACCAUUGAAUCCACCACCAUUGAAUCCACAAGUACUGGUGAAGUGUCACUCCACCAACACAAGAAAAGCUUGAGGAGCAAGAUAAAGACGUGGCAUGUAGUGUGGCAUGUAGUGAAUCAUCAGAUGACAUCCAGUCAUCAGCCAGCAAUGUUAGACAACAGAACAAGAGGCUGUUGUCAGAAAUAAAAACGCUACAGGAGAAGGUUGCCAUGUUAGAAAAUGAACGAGAUUUUCUGCGGACAACCCUUACCACGGCCAUGACAUCCACUGGAAAAAGCCAACCAAAGAAGAAUCAAGAUGAAAUGUCAUCUGGUUCUUCUGACUCUGAGAUUGGAUCAUCUUCGUCUUGUGCAAUUUUAUCAUCUGCAUCUUCCGAUGAUGAGCCGAAGAAGAAGAAAAAGAGGAAGACAAAGAAGAAGGAGGACCUGACCUGGUUUAGGAAUUUUGCUUUUACUUACUUGCUUUUUAUUUGAUUUAAAUGAAACCAUUUUCAAUAAUGUGGUAUACUUAAUGUUUAAAAGCUUGGAAUACCUUUACAGUACCCUUACAGUUUUCAGUACACAACUUACUGUGUUAUUUCCUGUCUCUGUCACAUGUACUGGUACUAGAUUGUGGUGUAAAAGCACUGAUGGAUGGUCCAAGACAUUAAAAACAUGACAUUCAAGUAAUACAUGAAAAUUCUUCACUUGUAUUGCUUAUUUUAAUGGAUUUGUUCCACUGUAUUAAAGAGUAUUAAGUGUGUACCAACACAGUUGAUACAUAUACUGUGUGGUGUAACAGCAGACACGUUUACAGUAUGCAUGACAUC